GACGAACGCUGGCGGCGUGCUUAACACGUGCAAGUCGAACGGAAAGGCCCUGCUUUUGUGGGGUGCUCGAGUGGCGAACGGGUGAGUAACACGUGAGUAACCUGCCCUUGACUUUGGGAUAACUUCAGGAAACUGGGGCUAAUACCGGAUAGGAGCUCCUGCUGCAUGGUGGGGGUUGGAAAGUUUCGGCGGUUGGGGAUGGACUCGCGGCUUUUCAGCUUGUUGGUGGGGUAGUGGCUUACCAAGGCUUUGACGGGUAGCCGGCCUGAGAGGGUGACCGGCCACAUUGGGACUGAGAUACGGCCCAGACUCCUACGGGAGGCAGCAGUGGGGAAUAUUGCACAAUGGGCGGAAGCCUGAUGCAGCAACGCCGCGUGCGGGAUGACGGCCUUCGGGUUGUAAACCGCUUUCGCCUGUGACGAAGCGUGAGUGACGGUAAUGGGUAAAGAAGCACCGGCUAACUACGUG
rnacentral:rRNA from 1 species